AAGAUUUAUAAUGGAAAUAAGUGACAUUAAGAACAUCUGGAAAUCUGUGGAAUCAGAAGCUGGAAUACAGCAGGCAAUGGCAAAAGUCAAAGUGACACCAUGACUCUAUCUGAUUUCCCCCCAUUUGUUGAUGAUUUCUUCCAUUAUUUCUCGCUGACACAUUUACUUAUGCUCUUCAGAGGAUUUGCCCUCCACACAUUAGAUGAUGCCCACGAUAUUGGAGAGGACUAUCUGCUUUACUCAGCUUACAAAUUCAAAUGCUAAUCUCUUCUGGAAACACCCUCACAGACACACCCAGAAAUAAUGCUUACCCAGCUAUCUGAGCAUCCUGUGCUUAGUCAAGUUGAUGCAUAAAAUUAACCAUCUCAAUGCCUGUUGAAGAUUCUCUGCAAAGAUGGCUAUUCCUUCAUUUUCUGUAAAAAUUCCUUUCAUCAUGAUGUGCAGCUACUUUCCCUCUUCUUGAAUUCUGUCUGGACUUGUGACUUCC